GGCAACAUCGGUUAGUGGUUAUUCCGUUGGCCUGCUAAGCCAAUGCCCUCGGGCGCGUGAGUUCGAAUCUCACUGUUGUCG
rnacentral:tRNA from 1 species